GACACCACGUCUACAUAUUGUCUACCAUCUACCUACCCAUGGAUUGGGUAAACGCUAUACAAGCAAUUACAUGGAUUCAAUAAGAUUAAACCAACGAUCCUAGACAUAUAAUCAAAGUAGAUAAUGACUAAUGCAAUUAAGAAUAUAUAAGAGAUUAAGACAAAUGUUGCCUGAAUCAUAAUAUUGAAUACAAUAAGAGAAAGGUACUAGAGCUAUACCGAACUCCACGCUCCACAUAGACGCUAGGGGCUCCAGAUCCCGCUGAAGAACUAGAACUCUCCUACUUCUAAUCUAAUUAGGCUAAAACUAUGAACUAGAGAGGCUCUGAUGAACUAGAGAAGGCUCUUGAUGAAUGGAUCUCCAAAUGGCUUGAUGCCUCCAGGGAGGGGGGUCUGCCCCUCUAUUUAUAGCCGAGUGGGAUCGACGUGCGCUGUAGGAUCAAACCGACUUAACCAAGGGCCAAGAUGACUCCUCAGAGGCGGUGGAGGAAGCUUCUAGAAGGGGGGCUGAAACCCUAAUAGGGGCGCCGACCGGCGCUGUGAUGGGGUCGGCCGGCCCCACCUAGCGGCCUGUGGCCCCCGGUUUCUUCUGGUGUCUUCGAGAGUCUUCCCCCGUCCCGUUCAUGAUAUUUUUUGUGGCAGAUAAGUUUCGUGUUUAUUUUGCACUUGAAUCCCUCUUUUUAGCUUUUCUGGAAUUCACCCUAGAAAAUACAGAAUAUACAAAACUUGUGGAAUUUUUUUUGAGCAAAAACCAUGGGGUAAAACCCUCCGGCAACUUAUAAUUAAACUAAAGGGUUCAAACAGACUAGCGGAACUUACAAAUGUGAGGGCCUAACCAGAAGUUAGGCACAGAGGGAGGGAGGGAGAAGAACCACAUGCUACAGAAGAAAAAAAAACUUGUGAAAAUUGUCAGUUUAAACCCUAGACUAGUGUGUUUUCAUGUUCUCCUUCGGGUUUGAAGUUCUAAUAAAAGUUGACGUUAUCUACUGUCAACAAUUCCCCCAAGCUUACCUUUUGCGAGUCCCUUGGCAAACCCAGCCUAAGCAAUAUAUGUAUUUGGAUCAAGAGUUGCUACAAUGUUUUUAUUCUUUCCAAGCACACAUGCUCUCAAACAAAGAUUCUCCUCUAGAUUAGUUAAUAAUUGUUCUAAUCUUCAAGCUUACCCAUUUUACCUUUAACCAUGGGGCUUUACAGCUUUUGCAUGAGUUUUGAGCAAUCAAAAGACAGAACAAUCAGGUCAAGCACUAUGUCUCAAAUUCUUUGUAGAACCAUUAUUCUGGAGUUUUCAUAAGUUUUCAGAAUAAAACUCAGAGUUUAAUUGUAUGACACCCUCAAGUCUCUCAAUGUAUGUGGUAUUUAUGGUUCUCUCUUGAGGCAUUAAUGAUGUUAUGCCUCCUAUAGCUAAAGGUAUAUAUGGUAGAGCUUAUAGGAGUGCCAAUAACAAGGAUAUGCAUACUUGCAAUGCAUGUAUUGUAAAGUCAACUAAUGGAUCCAUAGAGAAUCGAGGCAUACAAUCAAACCAAGGUGUGCAUGUGUAUGGAAUAUGGUGGAUAGGUGAAUUCUUUAGUAUUUGUGGCUAAUUUCUAUCUCUACUUUUGCUCCUUGAGGAUAAAUCUCCCUUUUGAUCUUGGAAUUUUUUGCGGGAAAACAUGGGCUAUAUUUAUUUCUUUUUUUUGUUUUUAUACAGGGAGGCGGGCAUCUAGUAUCCAUUGUUUUAAUUAUUGGGACACUUGUCCAUCUUAUACUCCCCUUUUUUUCUUUUAUAUUUUUGCAUAGCCACAUGUAUCCUUUGAAUACAAUAAAUGAUCAGAGAGGUAAUAAUAAGAACUUAGGGCAUUUAAGACAGGGGUUAUCCUAUAGGAUGAUUGUAUAUUUUUGUGUCCUCUCCCAAUAUAGGAGGAGAACAUGAUUGAUGGAUAUGGAAGGGAGAUGAUUGCAAUUACUCCUAGUGUGGGAAUAAUGCAUAUGUGGACAGGAGUGUGUACGUGAUCUUGGUUUUAAAAGCAUGACAAGACUCUCGUAAGGUAUACUACAAAGGUUGCCUGAACUCAAUGCAAAGCAAGCAGCAUAAAUGUGCAAAAGUUUUCCUAACUCUAAAUGUAUAUUAUAUAUGGCUUUGGUAGGAAUUCAAACUUAUCAUACAAGAGCUCAUCAUGUUGGAUUUUAGGUUUUCAAAAUAAAUCUCCAGAACUUAGUAAUGCUAGGAAUAAGAUAAAUAGCAGCUCGGACUUUCAAUGAUCAUAUCAACCAACUACCUAGACUUAGCUCAAACUUAUGCCUCCACAAGUUACAGGUUCAGUGUAAACCUUCAAAUUAAAAUUGUCAUGUCCAAAACUCGAGAGAAUCUAACGUUGGAAUCUAGGCACUUGUAAAGAAAUAUAACAGAGCAACUAUUUAUCAUCUCCAAGGCAAAAUUUUAAUGGUCACCAAUCUUUAAUUAGCUCUAGCCUAGACACACUCUAAUAUAAUUAAUACUAACUAAGACUUCUUUUUAUUGGUUUUUAGAUUUUAUUUAACCACAUACUCAUAAAAGACUCAACAGACGUGGACCUUGAUGUGCCCACAUAUUUUUUGGUAUUUUUAUAUCUAUGUAGUCUCGAUAAUCGCUUAGGUAUAAUUACGUGAUAACUAGAGGAUGCUCCUCCCCCAAGCUAGAUAGUUGCAAUACUUGGUGUAGAUGUCCUUUAGAGUGAGCUAACCAGUAGCGGACCUGGUGGGUGCCAUUGAUAGACUCUCUCCUUGUUAUGAUGUCAUUCCUGCAUAAAUACUCUCCACAAAGAGAAACCAAAACUCGAGGCCCGAAUUUUGUUAAUGGGUUAGUGGUCAGCCAAAAAGUAAUUAAUCUUCUUUAUGAGCUAGUUUUAAUGUUAUCUAAUUUAAACAGGAUUUCAAUUUUCUCUUAUUAUUUUUUUGAGAAUUUUCUAUUUAUGAUGUAGGAAUUUAAAUAUGAAUGCUAUAUAUUUUUUUAUGCCACCACAGUAAAUAUUCCCAAGGAGUUACCAUAAAUUUAUUCACAUGGGCUUAGUAUUUAGAUGUAGUAGUUAAAGCAGUAAAUAUUUGUUUGUAUUUUGUAUUAAUAUGCUAAGAGAAAUAAAUAUGCUACUAGGUGUAUUAAAACAAAAUUACUAAUGCAUGCUAACUUAACUAGACAACUACCAUUCUGACCUUAUGGCUAGGGUAUGAAAUUUAAAGUCUACUGACACGACUUAGAUAGAGGAGAACACUUACUCAGUGGGUUCAUUGUGUGAGGUAACCUCAGUCAACUCUAUGUUUAAUAGUGAUGCGUCACGUGCCUUCUUCUAUCUCGUUUCUAUUUCUUUUGCUUCUCUCUUUUUUAGCUCCAGCUCUUCAACUUUAUUCUCUUUCUCCCAUGCUUCUAACCGUGUUGAUAACUAGGGGAUGCUCUCCCCAAGCUAGAUGUUUGCUGAUGGUUGAUUGUUGAAGCCGAGUGGUCCUCAUAGAGGAACUCAUGCUUAUAAGAGCAAGUGUUGCCUGAAAUACUUCAAUCUCAUCACCUAAGAAGUUACGUUAUAUGUCAGAAAGGUGUACUUCAAGUGAUGAAGAUAAAGAUUCCUUGGUAAGCUCGCUCUUGGAGUCAUCCUACACAAAACUCUCACAAAACACCAAAACUCGUGGAACGGUUGAAAGGUCCUUGUUUGGUUUUGGUAAUUGAGUGACAACUUAGGUGGACUAAUAGUGUUUAUGUGAGAUACACAGGAGAUUAGUCCACAGGUGGUCAUGUAAUAAUGGAGGAGCUCAUUGCAUAUGAGACAUGACAUGGAG
rnacentral:lncRNA from 1 species